rnacentral:rRNA from 1 species
UAGGCAGGUGCGGCGUGCUAUACAUGCAGUCGAGCGGACAGAUGGGAGCUUGCUCCCUGAUGUUAGCGGCGGACGGGUGAGUAACACGUGGGUAACCUGCCUGUAAGACUGGGAUAACUCCGGGAAACCGGGGCUAAUACCGGAUGGUUGUUUGAACCGCAUGGUUCAAACAUAAAAGGUGGCUUCGGCUACCACUUACAGAUGGACCCGCGGCGCAUUAGCUAGUUGGUGAGGUAACGGCUCACCAAGGCAACGAUGCGUAGCCGACCUGAGAGGGUGAUCGGCCACACUGGGACUGAGACACGGCCCAGACUCCUACGGGAGGCAGCAGUAGGGAAUCUUCCGCAAUGGACGAAAGUCUGACGGAGCAACGCCGCGUGAGUGAUGAAGGUUUUCGGAUCGUAAAGCUCUGUUGUUAGGGAAGAACAAGUACCGUUCGAAUAGGGCGGUACCUUGACGGUACCUAACCAGAAAGCCACGGCUAACUACGUGCCAGCAGCCGCGGUAAUACGUAGUGGCAAGCGUUGUCCGGAAUUAUUGGGCGUAAAGGGCUCGCAGGCGGUUUCUUAAGUCUGAUGUGAAAGCCCCCGGCUCAACCGGGGAGGGUCAUUGGAAACUGGGGAACUUGAGUGCAGAAAAGGAGAGUGGAAUUCCACGUGUAGCGUGUGAAAUGCAUAGAGAUGUGGAGGAACGCCACUUUUCGAAGGCGACGCUUUGGGUCUGUAACUGGACGCUUGAGGAAGCGAAAGCAUGGUGAAGCGAAGCAGUAGUAGGAUACCCUGGGGAGUCCCACGCCCUUAAAACGAUUAAAGUGCUAGAGGUGUUGAGGGGGUUUUCUCUCCCCCAGUAC